rnacentral:rRNA from 1 species
UACGUAGGUGGCAAGCGUUGUCCGGAAUCAUUGGGCGUAAAGCGCGCGUAGGCGGCCCGGUAAGUCCGCUGUAAAAGUCAAAGGCUCAACCUUUGAAUGUCAGUGGAUACUGCCGGGCUAGAGUCCGGAAGAGGCGAGUGGAAUUCCUGGUGUAGCGGUGGAAUGCGCAGAUAUCAGGAGGAACACCAACGGCGAAGGCAGCUCGCUGGGACGGUACUGACGCUAAGGCGCGAAAGCGUGGGGAGCGAACAGG